GACGAACGCUGGCGGCGUGCUUAACACAUGCAAGUCGAACGGAAAGGCCCUGCUUUUGUGGGGUGCUCGAGUGGCGAACGGGUGAGUAACACGUGAGUAACCUGCCCUUGACUUUGGGAUAAUUUCAGGAAGCUGGGGCUAAUACCGGAUAGGAGCUCCUGCUGCAUGGUGGGGGUUGGAAAGUUUCGGCGGUUGGGGAUGGACUCGCGGCUUAUCAGCUUGUUGGUGGGGUAGUGGCUUACCAAGGCUUUGACGGGUAGCCGGCCUGAGAGGGUGACCGGCCACAUUGGGACUGAGAUACGGCCCAGACUCCUACGGGAGGCAGCAGUGGGGAAUAUUGCACAAUGGGCGGAAGCCUGAUGCAGCAACGCCGCGUGCGGGAUGACGGCCUUCGGGUUGUAAACCGCUUUCGCCUGUGACGAAGCGUGAGUGACGGUAAUGGGUAAAGAAGCACCGGCUAACUACGUG
rnacentral:rRNA from 1 species